CGUACUUCGCCCUUAACCCAGGAGUGAAGGGGAGGAGACGCCGGCCCGGGAGGGGGGGGACACACACGCCAGAGGGCGGGGUCCAGUCCAGAACUGGAGCGGGAAGCCGGCAGGCGAGCAGAUUUGCAUGUAAUCCAAUAUCCUCCCCCACCCCAAAGCCACCAUUCCUUUGAGUGGACCUGUGCUUAACUCAUGCGGUGAUACAGUUGUCUAUGCAUGCUGUGCCCACUGCCCUUCAACUGAACCAUGGACUACAGUUCAAGAGAUCCAGACAAUAACCAUCUGCCUUACACAGAUGGGAUCAGAUCUACUGCUUCUGGUGAUGGAUCGUAGCUUCAGCAGCAGGCUGGAUUGGUGCCGAGAGUGAACUCAAGCCUCUUCCCCUUCCUCCUGCGCACACGGCGGCAGCCUGGAAACGUUCGGGGGGCACAUGCAGAAUCCACCUUCUCGACUGCUGAAACCGCUAUUGGUGUUGUCCGCUCAGUCCACCAGAGCCUGUCUUCGCAUGCAGGGGAAAUCCCUGACUCACUGAGGAUUUGAGAUCCAUUGGCUAUGCUCACCUGGAUGUAGCUGGCCAGUUGAAGCCGUUCCUGGAGUGUGGCUGCUGACACAUGCUGACAGCUUCUUGGACCCACAGGUGGGAGCUGUGUAUAGGGUGGAGAUCAAAGAUGGACAAACUACCCCAGAUGAAGCACAACGUGUCCCCCCUCACAGACCAUUCCAGAUGGAUAGCGUGAUGGGAAUGAAGGAAGUAGAUUUGAACUUUCAAGUAUUUGCAAGCCCUCUUGCAAGAGCCUGCGAUGAAUGAAAGGAGCAGGAUGUUGCUUGCAAGCUGCCAGGUUCAAGGAGAUGACAUGCAGGCAAUACAUGACAUUUAAAGGCUUCUAGUGAGAAUGAAGGAGGCUACAAUCCUAAACACUAUGCCUAAGGAGUAAACUCCGCUUUGUUUGGUGGAGCACUCUUCCAAGUAAAUAUGUUUAGGGUCAGAACACAUUGCUGCAACGCUAAGCACUUACUUGGAAACAAACUGGAUAAAGUAGGACUUACUUUUGAGUAAACAUACAAAUGAUCAAGCUGCAUAUGCUCAAACUGCUCCUAUUUUCUGUCCUGGGAAUUCACUGUCCCGCUGUAUCUUUGCUUUGGGAGGUUGUUAAAAGGUUGGUUUUGCAAGAUGCCAUGUCAUUCAAUUCCCUCUCAAGGAUCUUAACUUCAAGAUCCAACUCUGUGGAGUUGGAUGCAUAUGUAGUGUUUUAAAUUAACAUAAUUGUUUGUUCCAAUAGUCAUUUUGUGCACAGAUGUAGCAGUGGCCACCAACCUUGAAAACUUUAAAAGGGGAUUAGAAAAAAUCAAUGGCUAUCAAUGGCUGCUAGUCAUGAUGACUAUAUAUUACCACCAGUACCAGAUGAAGUAUGCUGGGAAUCAUGAGCGGGAGAGCACUAUUGUCCGUGCGUUCUGCUUGUAAGCUUCUCAUGGGCAUGUGAAAGGAGAACAGAACAGAAAGCUGAACUAGAUGGUCUCAUCCAGGAGGGCUCUUCUGAUAUUCUUAGUUAGUGAGUUAUAUAGAGAGAGGCAUUUGGUUUUUCAUACAGUGUCUCUGGAAAGGAAAUGGAAAUCACAUGUUUUCCCUUACCCAGGGGCAGCUGAGAUUUUAAUUAGCAUGGCCAAAUAACAGAUCAUUGUCUUUUCUAGCUUAAUUACGUUUUUCUUAAGGAAGGUAAAGAGAGCAGUCUCAGAGACAGAACCUUCACUUUCCCCCGCCCCACUCAAAGGCAAUCAUGACAUUGUCCUUAUUUAUGUUGAAUUUAAUUUAUUUAGGGAUGCAAUGAUGUGAUUAUUGCAUUGAAUGGGAGGUAUUAAUUGUAGUAAAAUUGAUUUCAAAGCAGGAUCGGAGUAAUCUGGAGAUAAAUUAAUUGACUAAGAAAAGAUCUAGCUGAUCUUGAGUGGACUGCAAAUUAUUUUAAGAAUUUUAGGAAUCAUUAGAUGGGAAGAUAGCUGACAUGCCUUUAAAUUCUAAUAAUUAUUUUAAAAUCUGCAUAUAUACAUAAAUAUUCAAACUUGUGUCUUCUUUUUAGCCUCGUUUUCACUGGUGCAUAUUAUAUCUUUUUUUGGCAUAAAGUUGCUACCAUAUCAGCUAAUCAAAUCAUGGAUUAUGGAGAAAGCAAUUUUUAAAAGACUACAAUGGUAAAAUGUGUACACAUCAAACCUGGAAUCAGCACCUGCCAUGACUGGACAAUGCUGGGCCCUGUGGCUCUUGCCAGUUGCUUGGCAUCACUUUUUAAAUGAAAACAAAACAAAAACAUUUAGAGCAGUAUCACAUACUCAGCCUAGCACUGUCAGAUAAAGUCCCAGCCUGUUUGGAAAGCCUGAAGUAUAACUGAGGCACAUCUGAGUGCCAGGAUAUUAUAUACACACACAUCAUAUACAUACAUACAAUGUAUUAUAUGUAUACAUACACUCAGGCUGCACUCAUAUCCAUUCUUACUCAGGAAAAAGUCCAACUGCACACAGUGAAAGAUGAAUAGGAUUGUGCUGUCAGGUUUUUACUUUCAUUAUUGUUUCACAACAAUGUCCUAUGACAGAUUCUUUUAACUACAGUGCUUUUGUACUUGGCUGCUGCAGUACAAAAGGCAGAGGAGGUAGAACCACCAAGCUGAAUACGAUACAGCUGUGCGGUGCUGGGCAAGACGAUGCGUUGCACAUAUGUCAUCACAGGCACGUGUCAUGCAUCAUGUGUAUGACAUGCCACUGUGCCCCCAAAUCAUCGACCCCAAGUGGCAACUCUGGUAGUUACUAUGAAAAAAAUCUUGUAAUUUAUAUCUUGUUCAGGAUGCAAUCUUGUACCAAUUCACCCGGAAAUAAACUUCACUGGACUUACUUUUGAGAAGGUGUCAUUGGAAC